CCUACGGGGGGCUGCAGUGGGGAAUAUUGGACAAUGGGCGAAAGCCUGAUCCAGCCAUGCCGCGUGUGUGAAGAAGGCCUUCGGGUUGUAAAGCACUUUCAGUGGGGAAGAAAGCCUUGGGGCUAAUUCCCUCGAGGAAGGACAUCACCCACAGAAGAAGCACCGGCUAACUCCGUGCCAGCAGCCGCGGUAAUACGGAGGGUGCGAGCGUUAAUCGGAAUUACUGGGCGUAAAGCGCGCGUAGGCGGUCUGAUAAGCCGGUUGUGAAAGCCCCGGGCUCAACCUGGGAACGGCAUCCGGAACUGUCAGGCUAGAGUGCAGGAGAGGAAGGUAGAAUUCCCGGUGUAGCGGUGAAAUGCGUAGAGAUCGGGAGGAAUACCAGUGGCGAAGGCGGCCUUCUGGACUGACACUGACGCUGAGGUGCGAAAGCGUGGGUAGCAAACAGGAUUAGAUACCCUAGUAGUC
rnacentral:rRNA from 1 species